rnacentral:rRNA from 1 species
CAUCGGAACGUGCCCAAUUGUGGGGGAUAGCCCGGCGAAAGCCGGAUUAAUACCGCAUACGACUCAUGAGUGAAAGCGGGGGAUCGCAAGACCUCGCGCAAUUGGAGCGGCUGAUGUCAGAUUAGCUAGUUGGUGGGGUAAAGGCCUACCAAGGCGACGAUCUGUAGCUGGUCUGAGAGGACGACCAGCCACACUGGGACUGAGACACGGCCCAGACUCCUACGGGAGGCAGCAGUGGGGAAUUUUGGACAAUGGGCGAAAGCCUGAUCCAGCCAUGCCGCGUGCGGGAAGAAGGCCUUCGGGUUGUAAACCGCUUUUGUCAGGAAAGAAAAGCUUUGAGCUAAUAUCUCAGAGUAAUGACGGUACCUGAAGAAUAAGCACCGGCUAACUACGUGCCAGCAGCCGCGGUAAUACGUANGGUGCAAGCGUUAAUCGGAAUUACUGGGCGUAAAGCGUGCGUA